rnacentral:rRNA from 1 species
ACAGCAGCAGCCGCGGGAAUACGAAGGGGGCUAGCGUUGUUCGGAAUCACUGGGCGUAAAGCGCACGUAGGCGGACACUUAAGUCAGAGGUGAAAUCCCAAGGCUCAACCUUGGAACUGCCUUUGAUACUGGGUGUCUUGAGGUCGAGAGAGGUGAGUGGAACUGCGAGUGUAGAGGUGAAAUUCGUAGAUAUUCGCAAGAACACCAGUGGCGAAGGCGGCUCACUGGCUCGAUUCUGACGCUGAGGUGCGAAAGCGUGGGGAGCAAACAGGAUUAGAUACCCCUGUAGUCCCUGUCUCUUAUAC